CCUGGAACUCCGUUUGUAGACCUGGCUGGCCUCAAAUUCACAGAGAUCUGCUUGCCUCCAUCUCCUGAGUGCUGGGA
rnacentral:miRNA from 1 species